rnacentral:misc_RNA from 1 species
UAGAGUUGAAAACUCCAAAACCCUUCUGUGAACAUACCUAUGUUGCUUCGGCGGCAGCGCCCCGGGUCCCCCGGAUCAGUGCGCCCGCCGGAGGCCCGAACCUCUGUAUUCCUGUAUCUGCCUCUGAGUGAACAAACAAAUCAAUCA